rnacentral:rRNA from 1 species
UGAGGGAUUUUCGGCAAUGGGCGAAAGCCUGACCGAGCGACGCCGCGUGAGCGAAGAAGGCCUUCGGGUCGUAAAGCUCUGUCUAGGGGGACGAGAGAGGACGGUACCCCUGGAGGAAGCCACGGCUAACUACGUGCCAGCAGCCGCGGUAAUACGUAGGUGGCGAGCGUUGUCCGGAAUUACUGGGCGUAAAGGGCGCGCAGGCGGUACGUUAAGUCCAAGGUGAAAUCCCACGGCUCAACUGUGGGGGGACCCUGGAUACUGGCGUGCUGGAGUGCGGGAGAGGGAAGCGGAAUUCCACGUGUAACGGUGAAAUGUACAGAUAUGUGGAGGAACACCGGUGGCGAAGGCGGCUUCCUGGACCGUAACUGACGCUGAGGCGCGAAAGCUGGGGGAGCGAACAG